UGCUUAAGCAUCAUCGCUCUAUCACCCUCGUGCCAUCGUCGUUACACUGCUGUCGUGCCGCCGUCACUCCAUCACACACUCGUGCUGCCGUCGCUCUGCUGCUGCACUACCAUCACUCCAUUACUGCAACACCGCUAUUUCUCUGUCACUUUACGUCGUUGUUUCCGCUGCCCUAAUAUUCUCCUUCAAUUGACAUUUAGCAUUUGAGUGGCCGAUCAUUUGAAUUGACUCCAGAGAUAGGAACACUGGUAUUAAUUAUGACUUUACAAGGACAUUAGAUUCAUCACUCAAAUACCUUUUGCUUGUGCAGUUUGUUUUCUUCACUGGUGGUAUUGUGUUUUUAACACUUAUAGUGAAUGGUUGGAUAAAACAAUUCGUUUGAUCGUAUAAUUAACAGAAACGUAUACUUAAUUUUUAAUUUCACAAAGUAUGAAAUGUUGAACAAAACACUAAAAGAUUUUGGUGAACUUGGAGAUGAUGAGGAACUAGGGCCUGCUCUGAUUGGGCCACAGUGAAGAGAUAUACCUCCUGCCUAAAUAACAUUGAAGGUAAACAUGUUCAUCCUCACGACACAUCUGAAAGUGAUACUAAUCUGGAUGCUACAAAUUUGAAAGACAUAUGAGUACGCCUUCUCAAUGGUGAAAGUGAUGUUGCUUCUGCUGUUAUCAAUGAAAGCAUUGUAGAAGGAGAAGAAGCACGGAAGUUCCUAGAAGAUGUUCGCGUAACAUAUCCUAGGGUCUUGGGAGUUGUGAAAACAAGGCAAGCCACAUAUAUAGUGCUAAAUCACUUAACUGAAUAUGUUCAAGACUUUGAGAAGGCUGGGAUUUUGGAGAAGAAAAAGAUGUUACAUCUACAUGAUGCUGUCCAGGGAAAUGCUAAUAAAGUGCAUGCUGCAAAAAAAUCUCGAGCAUCGAUUAUCAGUAAGCCUCACCGAGACUAACUUUAUUUCUAACACUAAUGUGAUUCAUUAUUGUUAACUCAAAAGUAAAUUCAUUUUAUAUGUAUCAUAGGCAUAUGAGAUUUUAAAACACCCGUAUCUACAAUCUUAUGUUGAUCAAUAUCAUUUGUCUUUUUGUCUGCCUACAACAUGUUCUCCUCAAAAGUCUAUUGGAGUUUUCUAGGAUCCUCAAAGAAAUAGGCCUGAAAGUCAAAAAAAUAAUAGCUCAAGCAGUGACAAAGACUGUUUGAUGUCAAAUGAGAGAAACAUGGAAUGGCAGUGCCAAAUUUUGGUAGAGAAACCACAAUUCAGGUAUUAAUUGUUGAUGAUGGUUGAGUAUCCUGUGCCUAGUGAAGAAGGAAAUCAUUUCUCAAAUGGAGGAUGAUUCUAAUAAUCUUGACGACUUAGAUGAGAACUAUUUAGACGAGUACGAGUAGGGUUAUUUACCUUGUUUUGAAUAUUUUGUAUUAUUA